GCCCAUUUGCUGGCCCAUCUAGGCCGACCGCGCCAGCUCAACCUGGUCGUCUUCUUCACCCUUCACGUACGCAUACGAGCGUUAACAUCUCCAUGACAGUCAAAGCUUUCCUCCCUUCUCCCCUCAAAUCUAGCUAACGUUUCUUGUCGACUUCAACACGAGAAUUACUCAGUACUAAAUGAGGAAUCCGUUCAGGGAAAUUAUUUCCCACUUCAUGGCCUUAAUUUGUCAAACCGUCCAGGUGCACCGAAUGCCACCCGACGGCAUAGACCUCCCGAUCUCCCACCUCAGUCCAUUCCGGGAAGAUCUGAGCGCGUCACUUUGAGCCUCUCCUCCUCCUCCCUCAUUUUCGUUCUCAAAGUUUCUUGAGAGGAGAUCUGUACAACCCAUGCCGACCAUGCCCAUCGCAGCCCAAAUUCGAGUUCAUCGCUGGAUCCUAUCGAUCUCGGUGAUCGUCUCGUGGAUUCCCUGUACCAAUAGACUCCCCUCAUCAAUAUCAACCUCUAUGGCAAGGUGCUGGAUCAUAUGGUCGCUGUUGGCCGCGACAUCAUGUGAGUUCAUCUUGACGGACAUGAUGGUGCAGCAUUUCGUCGCCAAAGUUCCGCCUCGGUCGCUGCAGUUUUCGCCAAUUCCAGCGACACCCAAAACGAUGCUAGCGCCAACCUUUGAAGGUGACCGUCGACGGCCGCCUCUCGCCACUGUCCCAGGAAGCGCACGACGGCACAAAGAGCAACAUCGGACUCGCCGCGUCGUGCUGAACCUCGUAUACCACCUCGUCAUGCACUUUCCUGGAGGAGCAGCGGAGCAUCGCCGAUAACUGCCGCCGGAGUGCAGAACUACCACGAGCAAGCGUCGCUAUUUCGUAUGGAGAGCGACAUGUUUUGUUGAAAGAAAAGAUAACGCUCAUCAACUACCAAAAAGGCAAGUGACACACCCUCACAAAUGUCCUAGAUUUUAUUCAUGCACCGUACUGAUUUUUGUAGUAUGUCUAGGGUAUAUGCUUUGCUUUUGUAAUCCCAGUAGAUAGCUACUUCCACCUGACUAUAUUUUGUCGCCAUUGAAUUUAGUUGAUGCUUAGCUAUGCUAUGAAAAUGUUUUAGUAGUGGUUAUGGAAAAACAACUAAAUUCAAUGAACUACCUGGGUGGAAUGUGGCUUGGAUUGGAUUAUGUUGAGUGGUUACACCGGAGUCAUAUCUAUGGCGGUCGUGUGUAUCACACUUGUGGACUGCCACCCAGGAACAAAGAGAUAAUAGACAACCUUGCUCAUUAGCUUACCGUACAACCACAUGCUAUAUGGGCUCUGGCUUGACAGAGUAUGUUGUGAGAACCCGGAUCCUACGUGACAGAUGAUGUACGGGAUUGUAGGUUGGUACGGGUCCGUAGAGAAAGGUCUGGGGGAUUACUUCGGAAAAGUCUCAUCCUAGUCAACAUCUGUCCAUUUGAGCAAAAUGUGCAU